rnacentral:tRNA from 1 species
GCGCCCAUAGCUCAAUUGGAUAGAGUACCACCCUCCGAAGGUGGGGGUUGCAGGUUCGAAACCUGCUGGGCGCACCA